GACGAACGCUGGCGGCGUGCCUAAUACAUGCAAGUCGAACGAACCGCGACUAAGUGCUUGCACUCAGUCAAGGUGAGUGGCGAACGGGUGAGUAACACGUGGGUAACCUACCUCAUAGUGGGGGAUAACAGUCGGAAACGACUGCUAAUACCGCAUAGGACAUAGGAUCACAUGAUCCAGUGAGGAAAGGUGGCGCAAGCUAUCGCUAAGAGAUGGACCCGCGGUGCAUUAGCUAGUUGGUAGGGUAAAGGCCUACCAAGGCGAUGAUGCAUAGCCGACCUGAGAGGGUGAUCGGCCACAUUGGGACUGAGACACGGCCCAAACUCCUACGGGAGGCAGCAGUAGGGAAUCUUCCGCAAAGGACGCAAGUCUGACGGAGCAACGCCGCGUGAGUGAAGAAGGUCUUCGGAUCGUAAAGCUCUGUUGUUAGAGAAGAACAGCGCAUAGAGUAACUGCUAUGCGUGUGACGGUAUCUAACCAGAAAGCCACGGCUAACUACGUG
rnacentral:rRNA from 1 species